UUUCAUUAUUUGCUAUGAUUGUCUUUUUAUAAUUAAAAACUGUAUUGAUCUUCCUGAGGUUCCAUCUUUGAUUUUGGGUAGGCCUACUCCAACAGAGUUACUUAGUAUGUGGGCUUUUUCUAGUCCUGCUCUUAUCGACCUAAAUUAUCUUAGAAGAUCCUAAUGUGCAGCUUAGUGAUAUAGCCAGGUGUUGGAGUAGGACUGAAACCAAUGCUUUCACAGUAGCUCUCCAAUAGGAUGGCUGGCUACCAUAGAGCUCUUUCUCAAUUUUUCUACCCUUGGCUUCUUGUGUCCUCUUCUCAUCCUUCUCAAAACCAACUACAGAAGAAUGAAUUAGGAGAGGAACAUUGGGUCUCAUUAUCAAAUGGGAUUUUAGGAAGCGAGGAAAACUAUUUUGAUAAAGAACCCUGGUGUACUAGGGUCUGUGUCUGUUGUGUUUUUUUGUUAGAUGAUUGAGGACGUUCUCCAGAGCAAAGCUGGAGGGGAAAGGAUCAUGAACGAGUAUGCUCAGACAAAAAGCUUGAAUUACCGCAACAGACGUGAUAUGAUCAAGAUAUUGGUUGCAAAUAUGACAGAGGAUCAUGGAACAAGUCUCCAACGACAUGGGAAGGAGGAGGCAUAUCGAACAGGAAUAGUUUCCUUGUUCCCCUAUCUGGCUGACCGCAAAAGCAAGACAGACUGAGUACAAAAUAAAUCAGGGCCCCAAUUCACUUUACCUUAGCCCUUUGAUGUUUGCAGAUUUGAAGGGUGUGGAUAGAUGUAAGCAGUGUAGUUGUGGAGCUUUCACCUUAUGGAUCUGAUAGGGUUAUAGGGCCAAGGGGAAAUGGUGACAUUUAAAAAAAUGAUUUAGCUGUUUUAAAGGCACAAUCUGCCGAUAGUGAAACUGCCACAUCAAAUGAUAAACACAGCAUUUUUCAAAUCACUUUUCAAGGUGCAAAGCUGUCUGACAUGGCAAUGUUGCAGUUUAUAUGCUCCUCCUCGGUCACUUGUAAUUGAAGAUAACAUCAAUCAGUCUUUGUGUAUGUGAAGGUGACUGAGGAGCAUUAAACAUUACAGUCCCUGCUACUGUUAAACUUUUCUUCCAGA
ensembl:lncRNA